UUCGGACCUCCAAUCAAGCAAGGCUACCCGCUGAAUUUAAGCAUAUAACUAAGCGGAGGAAAAGAAACUAACCAGGA
rnacentral:rRNA from 3 species